AGAGGGUCCAUACUCCGCAACAUCUGCUCCUACCUUACUGAUCCCUUCGUCAUCUUCCGGCUACAAGGUCCUCAAGGAAGAGGUGCACGACUCCACCCUGAUCUUGUUGGAUGUAACCGUCGCUGGCAAUGGAUGUAACAUUGGUGUGCAAGGAGUGCCUAGCCAACGACUGGGCGCCGCUAUUCCAGGCCGUCAAAGGUUUGAUUCAAGGGCUGGUGAAGAGCAGGAAGGUGAAGCCAGCAAAGGAGCUCGGCAUGGCGAUGAGGAAGGCCACAAAGGGCGAUGCCAAAGCGGAGUGGGAGAAUGUCGAGUCUGCUAUAUUUCCACAAGGGCUUGCUGAUAGCACGGCGUAAUCCACACGUCGCGUAAGCGGAUAAGUCGUCGCUUUUUGCUUGAAAUCUAUUAAUUAA